GGUAGGGGAGCGUUCUGUAAGCCUGUGAAGGUGGCCUGUGAGGGUUGCUGGAGGUAUCAGAAGUGCGAAUGCUGACAUAAGUAACGAUAAAGCGGGUGAAAAGCCCGCUCGCCGGAAGACCAAGGGUUCCUGUCCAACGUUAAUCGGGGCAGGGUGAGUCGACCCCUAAGGCGAGGCCGAAAGGCGUAGUCGAUGGGAAACGGGUUAAUAUUCCCGUACUUGGUGUUACUGCGAAGGGGGGACGGAGAAGGCUAUGUUGGCCGGGCGACGGUUGUCCCGGUUUAAGCGUGUAGGUGUGUGUUCCAGGUAAAUCCGGUUCACUUUAACACUGAGGCGUGACGACGAGGCACUACGGUGCUGAAGCAACAAAUGCCCUGCUUCCAGGAAAAGCCUCUAAGCAUCAGGUAACAUCAAAUCGUACCCCAAACCGACACAGGUGGUCAGGUAGAGAAUACCAAGGCGCUUGAGAGAACUCGGGUGAAGGAACUAGGCAAAAUGGUGCCGUAACUUCGGGAGAAGGCACGCUGACACGUAGGUGAAGUGAUUUACUCAUGGAGCUGAAGUCAGUCGAAGAUACCAGCUGGCUGCAACUGUUUAUUAAAAACACAGCACUGUGCAAACACGAAAGUGGACGUAUACGGUGUGACGCCUGCCCGGUGCCGGAAGGUUAAUUGAUGGGGUCAGCGCAAGCGAAGCUCCUGAUCGAAGCCCCGGUAAACGGCGGCCGUAACUAUAACGGUCCUAAGGUAGCGAAAUUCCUUGUCGGGUAAGUUCCGACCUGCACGAAUGGCGUAAUGAUGGCCAGGCUGUCUCCACCCGAGACUCAGUGAAAUUGAACUCGCUGUGAAGAUGCAGUGUACCCGCGGCAAGACGGAAAGACCCCGUGAACCUUUACUAUAGCUUGACACUGAACAUUGAGCCUUGAUGUGUAGGAUAGGUGGGAGGCUUUGAAGUGUGGACGCCAGUCUGCAUGGAGCCGACCUUGAAAUACCACCCUUUAAUGUUUGAUGUUCUAACGUGGACCCGUAAUCCGGGUUGCGGACAGUGUCUGGUGGGUAGUUUGACUGGGGCGGUCUCCUCCUAAAGAGUAACGGAGGAGCACGAAGGUUGGCUAAUCCUGGUCGGACAUCAGGAGGUUAGUGCAAUGGCAUAAGCCAGCUUGACUGCGAGCGUGACGGCGCGAGCAGGUGCGAAAGCAGGUCAUAGUGAUCCGGUGGUUCUGAAUGGAAGGGCCAUCGCUCAACGGAUAAAAGGUACUCCGGGGAUAACAGGCUGAUACCGCCCAAGAGUUCAUAUCGACGGCGGUGUUUGGCACCUCGAUGUCGGCUCAUCACAUCCUGGGGCUGAAGUAGGUCCCAAGGGUAUGGCUGUUCGCCAUUUAAAGUGGUACGCGAGCUGGGUUUAGAACGUCGUGAGACAGUUCGGUCCCUAUCUGCCGUGGGCGCUGGAGAACUGAGGGGGGCUGCUCCUAGUACGAGAGGACCGGAGUGGACGCAUCACUGGUGUUCGGGUUGUCAUGCCAAUGGCACUGCCCGGUAGCUAAAUGCGGAAGAGAUAAGUGCUGAAAGCAUCUAAGCACGAAACUUGCCCCGA
rnacentral:rRNA from 1 species